rnacentral:ncRNA from 1 species
ACCAUACUUAUGGGGUGCUUGCAGUAAAUGUACUGGUACAGGCUGAGAUUAUACCCAAAUAACAAGAAUUGCUCAAUGCCCUGAGCAAUUCUUGUUAUAUACCUGAUCCAGAUAAUGCUGGCGUAGGGAUAUUUAAUUUCAAAAAU